UCAUUUUCUCAUCUUCCCUGUGUUUUCUGUAUUUUCCACAGACCUGCCAGCCUCAAACAACACCCUCUUUCUUCGCAUUAGAAAUGGAAACACGUCCUCUGCAGGAAUUUUCCACUUAAUAGCUCCUGCUUUCCUACCGGGGGCCUCAGUGCACCACCACUGCAAUGCUGUAUUUCUUUCCACUGCAGUUUGACAUUUUGCAGCCAGAACAACGAGCGGCAUUCACUCCAUCCUGCUUUUUGAAAAAUGUAUCUCUACAGGCACACAGAAAGCACCCGGUGCAGCCAUCACCACAGGGAAAUGGCAAAGACAUUAGGAAAAAUAAGUCUGUGGUAAUAUCAAGAUUCCAGGAAAAGACUGCACAGUUUUUCAGUUGAAAUUGCAAAGUAGUAGACAAAUAGGAGAAAUGAUGUUGAAGGACUGUACGCACCCUGCUUAGAAGUCCAGGAGCUGGAGAAGUGUUCUACCAGGAACUUUACCUUGCAUGGUGGCACUGUGCGGGCCUUAGCGAAGCUAAGCCUUGGGGCCUUGAUGCGAACCCCAGCACAGAGGGCUCCCAGACUGAGCACUGACUCUCAGCCAAGAAGUAAAACCUUUGUGUUCAUUCAGUCUCUCUGUAAUUCACCACUGUUCACACUCAUUGGUGAGUAGCCUCCAAGCAGUCGUAACAGAGGGGCUCUGUAGGCAUUUGUCAGUGGAAAUAUUUUGUGCUGACUUACAGCUCUCACACUGCUAAUUAUCUGACUGGCACAAACAACAACAACAAAAAAAGGUAUUUAGAACUGCUUUUAGACAAUGUCUAAGUUCCUGAUUUCUUAUGCCCUGGUGAGAUGGAUGUGCUUUUUGUGUAGCACACAGCUGUAGAGAAGCAAAGCUAAUUUUUGUGGCCGUGCCAUUUUCUUAUUGGUGUACAUUUGUAAUGCUCUUAUCAUACGGUAAUAUUCAUGAAGAACCACAAAACAAGUGAAAUAAGUCUUACAAUUUGAAUAAUGUUGGAAAUAACUGCAGAGAUGGUUUCCCCAGAACAGUAAACUAGCACUAAUUGCCUUGGCUGUACGAGAGGAAGCAGAGUCUCGGUUAAAGGCCUGGAAUUCUCUUUUUCAGAAGAUGCAUGGGCCUGGAAACAUAUUUGUGUUCCUAACUGUAAGCAUGUGAAUAAUCCCAUUAGAGAGAUUUUCUGACUGGUUUUGUAGUUGAAGUUAAAAUCACAGUAAGUGUUUAGAGGAUCUGUGCCUAAGGCAGGCGUCAAUAUUGAAAGAGAAAAGCUGGUUAAUACAGAGCGUUUCUUUUUUAGUAAUAUCAUUGCCUGUCUUGUAUUUUUCUGCAAAUUGCAAGAACUGAAAAAUCAAUUUUGUUUUUAAUAAAUAAUUCAUUACACUGCUGAUGUUUUAUACU
ensembl:lncRNA